rnacentral:lncRNA from 12 species
CCAAAUUUUUUCUCCAAUUUUCUCUCAUUUUUUCCCUGAUUUUUCCCCAUUUUUCCCUCAUUUCCCUCCCAGUUUUUCCAUUUCCCACCAAUUUUUCCCCAUUUUUCCCCCCAUUUUUUCCCCCAUUUUUCCCCAAUUUCUUCCCAAUAUUUUCCCCAUUUUUUCCCCAAUUUUUUCCCCAUUUUUCCCCCGAUUUCUCCCCAAUUUUUUUCCCACACCCCCCAUUUUUUUUUCCAGGAACAAGGAGUGCCCCACCUGCCGGAAGAAGUUGGUCUCCAAGCGCUCCCUGCGCCCCGACCCCAAUUUCGACGCCCUCAUCUCCAAAAUCUACCCGAGCCGCGACGAGUACGAGGCGCACCAGGACCGGGUGCUGGCCAAGCUCAGCCGCCUCCACAACCAGCAGGCCCUCAGCUCCAGCAUCGAGGAGGGCCUCAAGAUGCAGGCCAUGCACAGGUGGGGCGCGGAAUUCCGGGAAUUCCCAAAGUUUUCUGGGAUUUUUCCUAAAUUUUUUUGGGAUUUGGGGCGGAAACGGCGCGAAAAUCGGACGAAACGGCGCCAAAAACGGCACAGAAAUGACCCAAAAUUCACCAAAAUCCAGUGAAAUUUCUACCCAAGAUGCAGGCCAGGCACAGGUGGGGCGCGGAAUUUCGGGAAUUCCCAAAUUUUCUGGGAUUUUUUCCCCAAAUUUUUUUGGGAUUUGGGGCGAAAAUGGCGCUGAAAUCGGACGAAAACGGGCACAAAAGUGACUCGAAUCCGCCGAAAUCCAGUGAAAUUUUUGGGUUUUCUGCUCAGGGUUCAGCCAGGCACAGGUGGGGCUCAGAAUUUCAGGAAUUCCCAAAUUUUCUGGGAUUUUUUCCCCAAAUUUUUUUGGGAUUUGGGGCGAAAAUGGCGCUGAAAUCGGACGAAAACGGGCACAAAAGUGACUCGAAUCCGCCGAAAUCCAGUGAAAUUUUUGGGUUUUCUGCUCAGGGUUCAGCCAGGCACAGGUGGGGCGCGGAAUUCCGGGAAUUCCCAAAUUUUUCUGGGAUUUUUCCUAAAUUUUUUUGGGAUCUGGGGCGAAAACGGCGCGAAAAACGGAUGAAACGGCGCCGAAAACGGCAC